AAACACAAAAGGGUUGAUAGUCUCCCAAAAACCCUCUCACGAACCAUUGCAUUUUUCUUGCUCAGAGCUUUCAAUCUUGCUCACAAUCAUUGUUUCCUUUGAAAUCAAGAAAAAAAAAAAUUCUCCAAAACAAUCUCUUACUCUCUCUCUUUUUCUGGAUCGUGAUUUGUUCUCCUUGGAACCUUUCUCAAUCUCAAUCUAAUUCUAGAGUUUGAUUAUUCUCAAUUCUGAUUAUUUCAGUUUUGUUUCAUGUUUGUUCCGAAUUCUUUUUAAUUUUGUUCCCAAAAAUUAUGUGCAGAAGAAGAGUUGCAUUAUUCUAAUCUGAUCGUAGUGUGCGUGAGUGAUUGAAUCGGAAUUGCGAUGAGAAGGAAAAAUUUCAAGAGCAAGCCCACCGGUCGCCACCAGUUCUCCACGCCGGAAGAUCUCCGUAAGCAUUGCAUGUUCUCACUCUCACUUUCACUCUCAGUGCUCUGAAUCUCUCAAUCUUGCUCUGUCUCCAUCUAAAUCUCUGAGCACUUUGAAUCUUUGGAUCUCAUUCUGCCUCCUCAGUUGCUUUCUACUUGUCUUCUCUCUUAGGAUUGAGCUAUUUUGGCCAAUAAAAUAAUCAGAGGUGGUUGCUCUUCCACACCUUGAGGCUGAGGUUGAAGAAUCUACCAUCAAGACUUCCAAUCCUUUUAUCCUCUGGCAGUUUCCUUUGCUGAAUUCGGUGGAUGCUCUCUGGACACUCAUCAUGGAUUUAUUGUUGAAUAUGGGAUCCACAGGGAUAGAGAACAUGGUAGGUUUUGAAGCUCGGUAUUCUCGUGAGUUUCUUAUUGCCUAAGGCUUGGAAUCUGCAACAUUUUUUUUUGUUCAAAGAUGAGUUAUAUGUAUGUUGUUUCCAGCAAUUCUACUUAGAGUUUAAUAUUAACUUACUUUACAAUACUCUUUAUGGUAUUUACUUUAAUGUUAAGAGCUCCGAUGAUUCUAUGAAAUGCAGAGAUGCCAGUUAGAUGUCUCGAGUUUAGUAGGAUAUCUUUUCUUCGUCCUGAUCGACUGAAUUUCAGUUAUUGUCCAAUUUAUGUUGAUUUUUAAAAUUGUUUCACUCUAACAAAAGAUUGGCUCUUGUUGCCUUAUAUUUACUGUUCAAUGCGGUUAGAUAUUUUCCUCUUGCUGAUUUAAUAGUAUACUCAAUCUAUUUCCUUCUUUUAUUGUGUACCUGUAUUCUUACAUAUGUUCUCUAUCAUACAAAUGUGUCAUUUGCUUUGAUUUCUUUCACACCAGACUUCUGUCUCCCCUCUCAACCCUGUAGCUUUAUUAGCCUUUUGUUGAAGUCUUAAGAGCAGGCUUCCAUGUAGAUGACUCAGAAGUUACCUUGAAUAUUUGCUUGGGUAAAGAAUUUUCCGGUGGAGAACUGUUCUUCCGGGGUGCUCGAUGUGAUGCACAUGUGAAUUCAGAUUCCCAACUAGAGGUAUGUCAACAUCUUUACUGUAUUUUGGACUCAAUACCAUGUAUUUUAUCUAUAUAUUCUUCAGCAUGUAUAAAUACAUUCUUAAAGUUAAACUGAGAAAUUAGUAACAUUGAUGAUUCAUAUUAUUUGAAUAAAAAUGCUGGAUGUUACAUAUUCCCCUGACUCUCUGCUCUUGCUAAUAGCUGAAUAAGAGGUUCUCCUUUUCCACGUCAUGUUAUCUGUUAAAAUACAGAUUCUUUCCGAAGUUUAGACUAAAAAUUAUGUAUAUGUUUUUUUGUUCGUAUAGAAGCUUAAUACGGAGAUUCUAAUUAGUCAUGUAAGCUGAGACCUGAGACAAUCCAAAUUGUUCUCUUAUUUGUCAUGUAACCACAACUUGUUUACUAAAAGAAGUUCUCUUAUUGAAUUUCAUGCUUCUUAAUCUUUCAGCCAUGAGUAUUAACUGUCAUUUGGAUAAUUGAUGCAGUAGUAUAGGCACCUAGUGCUUUAAUUUAGUCAUGUGUUAACAAAACAUGUAUUUAAAUUUCGACAAGAGCAGAAAAAAACGCAUUCUUCAAGUAAAAUUUAUUAAUUGAAGUUUAACAUGUAAAAGUCAAUUAAUUUUGUAGAGAUCAUGUUGACAACAAUAUAGACACCUCACAAUAAUUAUUGCACCUAUAAUAUUGCAAUCCACAAAAAUAACUUGCAAAUUUGAAGUUUGAAAUUCAGAGACUUUUAUAUAAAAAAGCAUGUAGAACAUAGGAGUUUGUUUUGCCAAAAUCUGUUUCCCAUAGAAAACAUGCAUAUGGCCAUGUUGCAAUAUAAUGAGUUGACAAGGUUGGGUGACCAAUUAUCUCUACACUUGGCCUGUUUAAUUUUUAUUCAUUGGGUUAUUAAUUUGCAUUUUCUGAUGAAGAAAAGUUGUCUUUCUUUUCAUUUUUCAUGUUCUGUAUACAUAUUAGGAUAAUCAUUGCUUCUAGUUAGAAUGCUUCUUUGAAAAAGAUCUUGCCAACCUAUCCUUACAUUUGCAUUUAUGUGUUUUGUGGCUGGUUUAACUAACUUGGCCAGAACAUACUUCAGAAUUGUUGAUUUGUUAGUAGCAUUAUAUCAUGAUUAAGUGACGCUUUGACAAGUCCAUUUCUCUGUAUAGACUUGUGUUUGCAUUAUUGGCUAAGCCGAACAAAUACUUUCAUUUGCUGACUAAUAAUCAAAAUUUUUGAUUUCAAGAAAUAUAUUUUGAAUAUAUCAAUUAAGUAAAUUAGUAGAUUUUUAUACGUUUCAAAUGUGUGUGUAUUUGUAAAUUGAACAAGGAGGAUCUCUUUAUAUCAAUAAUCUAAUUAAUAAUUAUCAAUAUCUUGACUUAUUGAACAGAAGAGAACCUUCACCCUGCAUGCAGUUCUUUGUUAAUAAUUUUUAAAUAAAUGAAUAAAUGAUCUCUCUCUAGAAUGAACUCUUUGAUCAAUUGAAAUUUUAUACCUUAUCCAUGAAGAAUACUAUGACAGCAUAACAACCAUUGCAAACUUUAUAUUAAGUAUAAAACAGAAAUGUGUUAUUAUAAAGACUCCUAAAAUAAACAUUAUUUAAUAACACUUAAUAAUUUUGUUAUAUUUUAUGAAACCCCAGUCCAUAGAUGAUGGGAAAUUCCUUGUGCACAUUGUUUUUAUAUUUAUUUUGGUUUAGCUCCAUUCCUUCACUUGAUUUUUGCUCCUACAAAGUCAUCCAAUAAUAUAAGUUUUCUAUUUCUUGCACCUGUGUUUUUAAUGUAUCCUUCUUCAGAUGUGUGCUAAUUCCUGAUAUUCUUUUUAAGUGAACACUUAUAGACUACUAAUUUAUUUUCUUAUGAUGCUUGAAUUUUGCUUUCACUAUGGCCUUGGGGUAACUCACCGAUUCGAAGCCAACCAAUAAAGUGUUACAUUCAUUUGAGUUGGCUAUUGUUCUCUGUACCUCUCUUAAUUCCUUUUUAUUUUUAUGGCCUUGCGGAAAUUUGAUAAAUCAAUGAGAUUCUUCAUUGCUAUGCUGAUUAAAAGUUGAAAAGCCUGAAACUUUUCUCCUAUUUUCUGUGAUGAACUGUUUCCUUCAAUAUAUAUAGCAUAUUCUUACAAAAGUUCUAACUAUGCUGUGCUUGUAAUUUUAAAGUGUUACUGUUUGACUAUGGUUUUUUAGUAUGUCCAAGACCUACUUAUUUACCAGCUGCAUUGAGAUAUUAACUCUCGAAUAUUUGUCCUGCUUGUAUAGGAUCUGUAGCUGUUAGGUUAGACGGAUAAUAAGCAAGAAUGGGGAAAAAAAUAGUAGGAUGCAACAACUGAUGAAAAACUAUGUAAGAAUUAGAAAAGGGCAAUAUAUUACUUUUUCUCAACUGUUCAAGAAGAUCUAAAUAUUAGAAAUGAUCAAUGGUUCCGAUUACACUGCCUAGGCAACUAACGAAAACAAAUUUCUUGUUGUAGCUUGUAGAUAGCUAUCAGUUAGGUCAGGAAGAUCAUGUUAAUAACCAAUUUUAUUUUUUACUUUUAUUUUAUUAGAGGUGAAUGGUUGAAAAGUGAAAACUUUACUUGGGAUUCCAGACCACCUGUAGAGGUGAUUCAUAAUUAUUUUUCUUCGGGUUUUAUUUCUUCCCACUAUAUGAGUUCUUAUUGCUUUUUUGUUUGAUGUGCAUCAAAUGAACUUGGUUGACUGGUUUAAGGGAAUGGUAAUAAGUCGUCGCAGCGAUGAGCUAGUCAAGCAGAUAAAUACAUUUUUCUAGAAUUAGUAUAAGGACUAAGUUUUUUAUGUACAUAGUAUCACUUUUUCUUUUCUUUUUUAUAUGGAAUGUUUAUAGAGUUUAAGUGUUAUAAGUAUUUUUUUUCUAUUUUAUUUGCACCAUGAAGCAAAUUUGUACAAUGAUUAUUGAUUAAUGAAAGAGGCUAUAAAAAUUUUAUUUUGUGAA